rnacentral:rRNA from 1 species
GGAAUAUUGGACAAUGGGCGCAAGCCUGAUCCAGCCAUGCCGCGUGCAGGAUGACGGUCCUAUGGAUUGUAAACUGCUUUUGCACAGGAAGAAACAACUCUACGUGUAGAGUCUUGACGGUACUGUGAGAAUAAGGAUCGGCUAACUCCGUGCCAGCAGCCGCGGUAAUACGGAGGAUCCAAGCGUUAUCCGGAAUCAUUGGGUUUAAAGGGUCCGUAGGCGGUCUUAUAAGUCAGUGGUGAAAUCUCCCCGCUCAACGGGGAAACGGCCAUUGAUACUGUAGGACUUGAAUUAUUAGGAAGUAACUAGAAUAUGUAGUGUAGCGGUGAAAUGCUUAGAGAUUACAUGGAAUACCAAUUGCGAAGGCAGGUUACUACUAAUGGAUUGACGCUGAUGGACGAAAGCGUGGGUAGCGAACAGGAUUAGAUACCCUGG